AUGUUCAACUCUUAUUGUGUAGGUAAUCAAGAUGAGUUCUUCAUUGAAGACUUCGAUGUUGGUCCAAUGGAUACCAUUGAUUUGUAUGACAUGACAUUUCGAGAAGACCCCUCAGAUUUUGACGACAAUUUGCUAUAUGCAAUGCGUGACAGGACUAAGCAACUCAGAUCAUUCAAGGUUCUCUUUCAUGAUGUAUCUGUCAUAAAAUUGAAUACUGUUCUCCCUGUAUCUUUAUUCCUAAUAUGUUUCUUCUUUAUCAUAAUCAUCAGAGAAAAAUAAUGGAUGCUAUUAAAUCGAAAAGAAGAAGAGAGAAGGAAUAUGAACAGCUUGCUAUAUGGUUCGGAGAUGCAGAUAUGGGUUGUGAUCUGGUAAACGAUAAGGAACAGUCUACAACAUCUAUAGACUCCAAAAGCUCGCAGACAAAUGUGCCAGUUGUAUCAGAAGAUUCUGAGUGGGAGAUUUUGUAAGAUAUAAUGUGUUCUAUUUUGGUGAGACUCAUGUGAUGAUGAAUACCAAUAUUUAGUUUGUAACUAUUACUAAUAUGGA
rnacentral:sRNA from 1 species